rnacentral:rRNA from 1 species
GACGAACGCUGGCGGCGUGCCUAAUACAUGCAAGUCGAACGCAGUGGGGCCGGGUGAGUAACACGUGGGUAACCUCCCAUCAGAGGGGAUAACACUUGGACACAGGUGCUAAACCGAUACUGAUGGAUGGACCCGCGGUGCAUUAGCUAGUUGGUGGGGUAACGGCUCACAAAGGCCACGAUCCAUAGCCGGCCUGAGAGGGUGAUGGGCCACACUGGGAAUGAGACACGGCCCAGACCCCUACGGGAGGCAGCAGUAGGGAAUCUUGGGCAAUGGGCGAAAGCCUGACCGAGCAACGCCGCGUGAGUGAAGAAGGUUUUCGGAUCGUAAAGCACUGUUGGGAGGGAGGCGGUAUCUAACCAGAAAGCCACGGCUAACUACGUGCCAGCAGCCGCGGUAAUAC